rnacentral:misc_RNA from 1 species
CGCACCUUGCGCCCCUUGGUAUUCCGAGGGGCAUGCCUGUUUGAGUGUCAUGGAAUUCUCAAACCCCCAAUUUAUUUUGGUGGGCUUUGGACUUGGAGGCUUGUGCUGGCUUUUUAAAUUAAAGCUUCAGCUCCUCUGAAAUACAUUAGUGUGAAUCUUACUGGCCACUAUCAGUGUGAUAAUUAUCUGCGCUGUUGUGAUUCAGUAUUUAAAUGUUCAUGCUUUCUAAUCGUCUUUUUACGAGACAAUUAACUUUGACAUCUGACCUCAAAUCAGGUAGGACUACCCGCUGAACUUAA